UUGCAUUUUUAUUUGAGACAGAUACUUUUCCUUCUUGUUUUAAUGUAAUAAACCAUAUUUAAUCGUUUGUACUUUGCUUGAAGUUUUCUCUUAUGCCAAAGAAGACAAGUACCUCCAAAGUUUGAACGCUUCUACCAAGGUUUCAGAAAUUGGAGAUAAACUGUCGACAUGAUUACGAUUCUUUACAAAGUUCUUUCAAACAAGGUAAUCCUCCUCCAAGUUAUCAUUAUGAAAACUGAACAUUUCAUAACAUCAGAUCGAAUACAGAUUUGGGUGACCAGGAUUGUGAAUUAAGAAUCGUCAAAUGCAUCAAUAUUCCACUUCCUUCAGGAUCAACCUCAAACUGGCUUCACGGAAACCAUCAAACACAAC